rnacentral:pre_miRNA from 1 species
AGUGGAAUAGUUAGAUCAUAUUGUAGGUGUACAUUUAAAAAAAACUGCCAAAUUAUUUUCCAAAGCACUUCUGCCAUUUUACAUUCCUAUCAGCAAU